rnacentral:rRNA from 1 species
CUACGGGGGGCUGCAGUAGGGAAUAUUGGACAAUGGGCGAAAGCCUGAUCCGGCAACACCGCGUGCACGAUGACGGCCUUCGGGUUGUAAAGUGCUUUUAGAGGAGAUGAGAAAGGACAGUAUCCUCUGAAUAAGCCUCGGCGAACUACGUGCCAGCAGCCGCGGUAAAACGUAGGAGGCAAGCGUUAUCCGGAUUUAUUGGGCGUAAAGCGCGUGCAGGCGGUCUAGCAAGUUGGAUGUGAAAGCUCCCGGCUCAACUGGGAGAGGUCGUUCAAUACUGUUAGACUAGAGAAUAGGAGAGGGAGGUGGAAUUCCGGGUGUAGUGGUGGAAUGCGUAGAUAUCCGGAGGAACACCAGUGGCGAAAGCGGCCUCCUGGACUAUUUCUGACGCUAAGACGCGAAAGCUAGGGUAGCAAACGGGAUUAGAUACCCUGGUAGUC